GAUCGAAUGGGGAGAUUCAUCGUCAGCUCAUUUUGUAUAUGUAUGAGUUAUGAUGUGAGUUACUCNUUGUAGUAUUGCUUGCACGUACUUAUGCAUUUAUUUGCAAGGUGUUGUCGGCGUGCACUUCUCCCCUAGUAGGACGUCGCGACCCGUUGGGUAUCGGUCUACGACCCGAGUNGGUAGACUUNUAAUAUUUUNAUAAUAUUAAAGACCCUUGGUGUUUUCUGACCGGCUGCCCGGCGGUAUUCGUACGGUAUUUAGCCGCAUUUANUNUUGCGUCCAUGUCCAUCGCAAGCGCGGCCAAUUUCUGGUAGUACGGACCUAGUGCCGUCGCUGGAAUUGGCCAGCUGUUGGUUGAAUGGAAUUCUAGGA
rnacentral:rRNA from 1 species